AACGAACGCUGGCGGCAUGCCUAACACAUGCAAGUCGAACGAGACCUUCGGGUCUAGUGGCGCACGGGUGCGUAACGCGUGGGAAUCUGCCCUUGGGUUCGGAAUAACUCGCCGAAAGGCGUGCUAAUACCGGAUGAUGUCGUAAGACCAAAGAUUUAUCGCCCAAGGAUGAGCCCGCGUAAGAUUAGGUAGUUGGUGAGGUAAAGGCUCACCAAGCCGACGAUCUUUAGCUGGUCUGAGAGGAUGAUCAGCCACACUGGGACUGAGACACGGCCCAGACUCCUACGGGAGGCAGCAGUGGGGAAUAUUGGACAAUGGGCGAAGGCCUGAUCCAGCAAUGCCGCGUGAGUGAUGAAGGCCUUAGGGUUGUAAAGCUCUUUUACCCGGGAUGAUAAUGACAGUACCGGGAGAAUAAGCCCCGGCUAACUCCGUGCCAGCAGCCGCCGCCG
rnacentral:rRNA from 1 species